UACGUAGGGUGCGAGCGUUGUCCGGAAUUACUGGGCGUAAAGAGCUCGUAGGUGGUUUGUCGCGUUGUCCGUAAAAUUCCCUGGCUUAACUGGGGGCGUGCGGGCGAUACGGGCAGACUGGAGUACUGCAGGGGAGACUGGAAUUCCUGGUGUAGCGGUGGAAUGCGCAGAUAUCAGGAGGAACACCGGUGGCGAAGGCGGGACUCUGGGCCGAGUAACUGACGCUGGAGGAAGCGGAAAGCGUGGGGAGCGAACAGGA
rnacentral:rRNA from 1 species